AUACGUAGGUGGCAAGCGUUGUCCGGAAUUAUUGGGCGUAAAGCGCAUGUAGGCGGUUUGGUAAGUCGGUCGUGAAAAUGCGGUGCUUAACGCCGUAUGGCGAUUGAAACUGCUGAACUUGAGUGCAGGAGAGGAAAGGGGAACUCCCAGUGUAGCGGUGAAAUGCGUAGAUAUUGGGAAGAACACCGGUGGCGAAGGCGCCUUUCUGGACUUUGUCUGACGCUCAGAUGCGAAAGCCAGGGUAGCGAACGGGAUUAGAUACCCCGGUAGUCCUGGCCGUAAACGAUGGGUACUAGGUGUGGGAGGUAUCGACUCCUUCCGUGCCGGAGUUAACGCAAUAAGUACCCCGCCUGGGGAGUACGGCCGCAAGGCUUAAACUCAAAUGAAUUGACGGGG
rnacentral:rRNA from 1 species